rnacentral:rRNA from 1 species
AUGGCCGGCGCGGCGCCCCACGUCAUGGUGCUGCCAUUCCCGGCGCAGGGCCACGUCACCCCGCUCAUGGAGCUGUCGCACCGCCUCGUCGACCACGGCCUCCAGGUCACCUUCGUCUGCACCGAGCCCAUCCGCAAGCUCCUGCUCGACGCCCUCGCCCACGGCGGGGAGGCGCUGGACGGCAUCCGCCUCGUCUUCGUACCGGACGGCCUGGCCGACGGCGACAGCCACAGGGACCUGGGCAAGGUCCUGGCCGGGGUCUUGGGACGCGUGCCGGGCUACGUGGAGGAGCUCAUCAGGGCGACGGGGGCGUCCGGGGAAAAGAAGGUGCAGUGGCCCGUCGCCGAGGCGACCAUGGCGUGCUGCUUCCAGGUCGCAAGGAAUCUCGGCGUCCGGGUCGCUUCAGUCUGCCCGUCGUCCGCGGCGUGCCUUGUCACCUCGCUCAGGAUUCCCCAGCUUAGGCUAAUCAUAGUGGAGAAUAACUUAGACUAG